rnacentral:tRNA from 1 species
AGACUAUAAAAUUGUUAAUUACAAUAACAUAAAGUUUAAAAACAUAGUCUA